rnacentral:rRNA from 1 species
GGGGGACGGCGCUAUCUGUGUCUCGUGCGCGCGAAAGUGGUGCCGGCACCCUUGUUUCCAGUGGCGAACGGGUGAGUAACACGUGGAUAACCUGCCUCAAGGCUGGGGAUAACAUUUGGAAACAGAUGCUAAUACCGAAUAAAACUUAGUAUCGCAUGAUAUCAAGUUAAAAGGCGCUACGGCGUCACCUAGAGAUGGAUCCGCGGUGCAUUAGUUAGUUGGUGGGGUAAAGGCUUACCAAGACGAUGAUGCAUAGCCGAGUUGAGAGACUGAUCGGCCACAUUGGGACUGAGACACGGCCCAAACUCCUACGGGAGGCUGCAGUAGGGAAUCUUCCACAAUGGGCGCAAGCCUGAUGGAGCAACGCCGCGUGUGUGAUGAAGGCUUUCGGGUCGUAAAGCACUGUUGUAUGGGAAGAAAUGCUAAAAUAGGGAAUGAUUUUAGUUUGACGGUACCAUACCAGAAAGGGACGGCUAAAUACGUGCCAGCAGCCGCGGUAAUACGUAUGUCCCGAGCGUUAUCCGGAUUUAUUGGGCGUAAAGCGAGCGCAGACGGUUGAUUAAGUCUGAUGUGAAAGCCCGGAGCUCAACUCCGGAAUGGCAUUGGAAACUGGUUAACUUGAGUGUUGUAGAGGUAAGUGGAACUCCAUGUGUAGCGGUGGAAUGCGUAGAUAUAUGGAAGAACACCAGUGGCGAAGGCGGCUUACUGGACAACAACUGACGUUGAGGCUCGAAAGUGUGGGUAGCAAACAGGAUUAGAUACCCUGGUAGUCCACACCGUAAACGAUGAAUACUAGGUGUUAGGAGGUUUCCGCCUCUUAGUGCCGAAGCUAACGCAUUAAGUAUUCCGCCUGGGGAGUACGACCGCAAGGUUGAAACUCAAAGGAAUUGACGGGGACCCGCACAAGCGGUGGAGCAUGUGGUUUAAUUCGAAGCAACGCGAAGAACCUUACCAGGUCUUGACAUCCUUUGAAGCUUUUAGAAGAUAGAAGUGUUCUCUUCGGAAACAAAGUGACAGGUGGUGCAUGGUCGUCGUCAGCUCGUGUCGUGAGAUGUUGGGGUUAAGUCCCGCAACGAACCGCAACCCUUAUUGUUAAUUGCCAGCAUUCAGUUGGGCA